GACGAACGCUGGCGGCGUGCUUAACACAUGCAAGUCGAACGGAAAGGCCCUGCUUUUGUGGGGUGCUCGAGUGGCGAACGGGUGAGUAACACGUGAGUAACCUGCCCUUGACUUUGGGAUAACUUCAGGAAACUGGGGCUAAUACCGGAUAGGAGCUCCUGCUGCAUGGUGGGGGUUGGAAAGUUUCGGCGGUUGGGGAUGGACUCGCGGCUUAUCAGCUUGUUGGUGGGGUAGUGGCUUACCAAGGCUUUGACGGGUAGCCGGCCUGAGAGGGUGACCGGCCACAUUGGGACUGGGAUACGGCCCAGACUCCUACGGGAGGCAGCAGUGGGGAAUAUUGCACAAUGGGCGGAAGCCUGAUGCAGCAACGCCGCGUGCGGGAUGACGGCCUUCGGGUUGUAACCCGCUUUCGCCUGUGACGAAGCGUGAGUGACGGUAAUGGGUAAAGAAGCACCGGCUAACUACGUG
rnacentral:rRNA from 1 species